GUGACAGCAGCCGCGGUAAUACGAGUGGUGCAAGCGUUAUUCGGAAUCACUGGGCGUAAAGGGUGUGUAGGCGGCAAAUCAAGUCUGUUGUAAAAUAUCCCAGCUUAACUGGGAGUGUGCGAUGGAAACUGGUUUGAUAGAGGGUGAAAGAGAGAAGUGGAAUUCUCGGAGUAGCGGNAAAAUGCGUAGAUAUCGAGAGGAACACCGAUGGNGAAGGCAGCUUCUUGGUUCACACCUGACGCUGAUACACGAAAGCGUGGCGAGCAAACA
rnacentral:rRNA from 1 species